rnacentral:misc_RNA from 1 species
GAAGUCGUAACAAGGUAUCCGUAGGUGAACCUUCGGAUGGAUCAUUAACGCUGUUCUAUUCUUUGCGGUUCCGGGGGCGCCCCCGCGAGGGGGUCUCUCGGCUUCCGUCGAGAACCUUUUGUGAAACGUUGAAGUCUGUUUUCUUUGCAAACCUUUUCGUUUGUGAAUUCACUGGGAGCGGAGGCGAGCCGGGUUCCGGCCCUCUUCUUCGUCGGUUACGUUUGGUCUUUUGGCCGAAGAUAACUAUAUUGAAAUUUUUCGUCGGCGCGACGGAAGAUGAUUUUGCACAACUUAUAACAAUGGAUACCUUGGCUU